GCUGGGCAUCGUGGCAGGUGCCUGUAAUCCCAGUUCCCUGGGAGGCUGAGGCAGGAGAAUCGCUUGAACCCAGGAGAUUGCAGUGAGCCAAGACAGCACCCCUGCACUCCAGCCUGAGUGACAGAGUGAUAUUCUGCCUCAA
ensembl:misc_RNA Metazoa_SRP Metazoan signal recognition particle RNA